AUCGAUGAAGAACGCAGCGAAAUGCGAUAAGUAAUGCGAAUUGCAGAAUUCAGUGAGUCAUCGAAUCUUUGAACGCAUAUUGCGCCCUUUGGUAUUCCGAAGGGCAUGCCUGUUCGAGCGUCAUUAUCACCAAUCAAGCCUGGCUUGUCGUUGGACCCCUUUUGCUGCUGAAAUACGUGGCAGGUCCGAAAGAUAAUGACGGCGUCGUGUUUGACCCUAGAUGCAACGAGCUUUUCAUAGCACGCAUUGAAGUGGUCGGCCGGCCCAGUCUUUAACCAUUAUUUUCUUAAGGUUGACCUCGGAUCAGGUAGGAAUACCCGCUGAACUUAAGCAUAUCAAUAAGCGGAGGAAAAGAAACCAACAGGGAUUACCCUAGUAACGGCGAGUGAAGCGGUAACAGCUCAAAUUUGAAAUCUGACCUUCACGGGUUCGAGUUGUAAUUUGUAGAGGUGUUUUCGGAUAAGGCUUUGGUUUAAGUUUCUUGGAACAGAACGUCAUAGAGGGUGAGAGUCCCGUCUAGAGCCGAUAGCCGCGUCCAUGUGAAACUCCUUCAACGAGUCGAGUUGUUUGGGAAUGCAGCUCAAAAUGGGUGGUAAAUUUCAUCUAAAGCUAAAUAUUGGCCAGAGACCGAUAGCGCACAAGUAGAGUGAUCGAAAGAUGAAAAGCACUUUGAAAAGAGAGUUAAACAGUAUGUGAAAUUGUUGAAAGGGAAGCGCUUGCAACCAGACUUGUGUUUAACGGUUCCCCCGAUCUUUUGACCGGGCUAUUCCGUUAUAUCCAGGCCAGCAUCGGUUCGGGUGGUCGGUGAAAGACUUUGGGAAUGUAUCUACCUUCGGGUCGACUUAUAGCCUAGAGUGUAAUGCGGCCUACCUGGACCGAGGAACGCGCUUUUGCUCGGAUGCUGGCGUAAUGGUUGUAAGCGGCCCGUCUUGAAACACGG
rnacentral:rRNA from 1 species